rnacentral:rRNA from 1 species
ACGGAAGGCAGCAGUUAGGAAUAUUGGACAAUGGGGGCAACCCUGAUCCAGCCAUGCCGCGUGAGUGUUAAGGCCUUCGGGUUGUAAAGCUCUUUUGUAUGGGAAAAUGAUGAUGGUCCCAUAAGAAUAAGCACCGGCUAACUUCGUGCCAGCAGCCGCGGUAAUACGAAGGGUGCAAGCGUUGUUCGGAAUUACUGGGCGUAAAGGGCGCGUAGGCGGAUAAGUUAGUCAGGAGUGAAAUCCCGGGGCUCAACCUCGGAACUGCUUUUGAAACGGCUUAUCUUGAGUGUGACAGGGGAUGAUGGAAUACCCAGUGUAGAGGUGAAAGUCGUAGAUAUUGGGUAGAACACCAGAGGCGAAGGCGGUCAUCUGGGUCACUACGGAGGCUGAGGCGCGAAGGCGUGGGGACCAAACAGGAUAGAUACCCUGGUA